CCAUAGGCGUUGAAAAGCCCCGGGAUGACUUGUGGAUAGGGGUGAAAGGCCAAUCAAACUUCGUGAUAGCUGGUUCUCUCCGAAAUAUAUUUAGGUAUAGCGUUGUGUCGUAGUAUAAGGGGGUAGAGCACUGAAUGGGCUAGGGCAUACACCAAUGUACCAAACCCUAUCAAACUCCGAAUACCUUAUAUGUAAUCACAGCAGUCAGGCGGCGAGUGAUAAAAUCCGUCGUCAAGAGGGAAACAACCCAGACUAUCAGCUAAGGUCCCCAAGUCUUACUUAAGUGGAAAACGAUGUGAAGUUACUUAAACAACCAGGAGGUUGGCUUAGAAGCAGCCAUCCUUUAAAGAAAGCGUAAUAGCUCACUGGUCUAGUGAUUUUGCGCGGAAAAUAUAACGGGGCUAAAGUAAGCACCGAAGCUAUAGACUUAGUUUUACUAAGUGGUAGGAGAGCGUUCUAUUUGCGUCGAAGGUAUACCGGUAAGGAGUGCUGGAGCGAAUAGAAGUGAGCAUGCAGGCAUGAGUAGCGAUAAUUAAUGUGAGAAUCAUUAACGCCGUAAACCCAAGGUUUCCUACGCGAUGCUCGUCAUCGUAGGGUUAGUCGGGUCCUAAGUCGAGUCCGAAAGGGGUAGACGAUGGCAAAUUGGUUAAUAUUCCAAUACCAACAUUAGUGUGCGAUGGAAGGACGCUUAGGGCUAAGCAAGCUAGCGGAUGGAAGUGCUAGUCUAAGGAUGUAGGAGCUUAUACAGGCAAAUCCGUAUAAGAAUACUCCGAGAUCUUAAAGGCUCUUUGAAGUCUUCGGAUGGAUAGGAGAAUUGCUGAUGCCGUCGAGCCAAGAAAAGUUUCUAAGUUUAGCUAAUGUUGCCCGUACCGUAAACCGACACAGGUGGGUGGGAUGAGUAUUCUAAGGCGCGUGGAAGAACUCUCUUUAAGGAACUCUGCAAAAUAGCACCGUAUCUUCGGUAUAAGGUGUGGUUCGCUUUGUAUUAGAAUUUACUUCGAAAGCAAAGAAACUUACAACAAAGAGUCCCUCCCGACUGUUUACCAAAAACACAGCACUCUGCUAACUCGUAAGAGGAUGUAUAGGGUGUGACGCCUGCCCGGUGCUCGAAGGUUAAUUGAUGGGGUUAGCAUUAGCGAAGCUCUUGAUCGAAGCCCGAGUAAACGGCGGCCGUAACUAUAACGGUCCUAAGGUAGCGAAAUUCCUUGUCGGUUAAAUACCGACCUGCAUGAAUGGCGUAACGAGAUGGGAGCUGUCUCAAAGAGGGAUCCAGUGAAAUUGUAGUGGAGGUGAAAAUUCCUCCUACCCGCGGCAAGACGGAAAGACCCCGUGGACCUUUACUACAGCUUGACACUGCUAUUUGGAUAAGAAUGUGCAGGAUAGGUGGGAGGCUUUGAGUAAUAGACGCCAGUUUAUUAUGAGCCAUUGUUGAGAUACCACUCUUUCUUAUUUGGGUAGCUAACCAGCUUGAGUUAUCCUCAAGUGGGACAAUGUCUGGUGGGUAGUUUGACUGGGGCGGUCGCCUCCCAAAUAAUAACGGAGGCUUACAAAGGUUGGCUCAGAACGGUUGGAAAUCGUUCGUAGAGUAUAAAGGUAUAAGCCAGC
rnacentral:rRNA from 1 species